rnacentral:rRNA from 1 species
GACGAACGCUGGCGGCGUGCUUAACACAUGCAAGUCGAACGGAAAGGCCCUUCGGGGUCCUCGAGUGGCGAACGGGUGAGUAACACGUGGGUGAUCUGCCCUGCACUUUGGGAUAAGCCUGGGAAACUGGGUCUAAUACCAAAUCGGACCACGCGCUUCAUGGUGUGUGGUGGCAAGCUUUUGCGGUGUGGGAUGGGCCCGCGGCUUAUCAGCUUGUUGGUGGGGUAAUGGCCUACCAAGGCGACGACGGGUAGCCGGCCUGAGAGGGUGACCGGCCACACUGGGACUGAGAUACGGCCCAGACUCCUACGGGAGGCAGCAGUGGGGAAUAUUGCACAAUGGGCGCAAGCCUGAUGCAGCGACGCCGCGUGAGGGAUGACGGCCUUCGGGUUGUAAACCUCUUUCAAUAGGGACGAAGCGCAAGUGACGGUACCUAUAGAAGAAGCACCGGCCAACUACGUG